GACGAACGCUGGCGGCGUGCUUAACACAUGCAAGUCGUACGGUAAGGCCCUUUCGGGGGUCCACGAGUGGCGCACGGGUGCGUAACACGUGCGUAACCUGCCCACAACUUUGGGAUAACGCUAGGAAACUGGUGCUAAUACUGGAUAUGUGCUCCUGCUGCAUGGUGGGGGUUGGAAAGCUCCGGCGGUUGUGGAUGGACUCGCGGCCUAUCAGCUUGUUGGUGGGGUAGUGGCCUACCAAGGCGGCGACGGGGAGCCGGCCUGAGAGGGUGACCGGCCACAUUGGGACUGAGAGGCGGCCCAGACACCUACGGGAGGCAGCAGUGGGGAAGAUUGCACAAGGGGCGCAAGCCGGAUGCAGCAACGCCGCGGGCGGGAUGACGGCGUUAGGGUUGAAGAACGCGUUUGGCAGGGACGAAGCUUGUUGUGACGGUACCUGCAGAAGAAGCACCGGCUAACUACGUG
rnacentral:rRNA from 1 species